UAAUUGGGCGUUAAGUUGCAGGGUAUAGACCCGAAACCCGGUGAUCUAGCCAUGGGCAGGUUGAAGGUUGGGUAACACUAACUGGAGGACCGAACCGACUAAUGUUGAAAAAUUAGCGGAUGACCUGUGGCUGGGGGUGAAAGGCCAAUCAAACCGGGAGAUAGCUGGUUCUCCCCGAAAGCUAUUUAGGUAGCGCCUCGUGAAUUCAUCUCCGGGGGUAGAGCACUGUUUCGGCUAGGGGGCCAUCCCGGCUUACCAACCCGAUGCAAACUGCGAAUACCGGAGAAUGUUAUCACGGGAGACACACGGCGGGUGCUAACGUCCGUCGUGAAGAGGGAAACAACCCAGACCGCCAGCUAAGGUCCCAAAGUCAUGGUUAAGUGGGAAACGAUGUGGGAAGGCCCAGACAGCCAGGAUGUUGGCUUAGAAGCAGCCAUCAUUUAAAGAAAGCGUAAUAGCUCACUGGUCGAGUCGGCCUGCGCGGAAGAUGUAACGGGGCUAAACCAUGCACCGAAGCUGCGGCAGCGACACUCAGGUGUUGUUGGGUAGGGGAGCGUUCUGUAAGCCUGCGAAGGUGGCCUGUGAGGGUUGCUGGAGGUAUCAGAAGUGCGAAUGCUGACAUAAGUAACGAUAAAGCGGGUGAAAAGCCCGCUCGCCGGAAGACCAAGGGUUCCUGUCCAACGUUAAUCGGGGCAGGGUGAGUCGACCCCUAAGGCGAGGCCGAAAGGCGUAGUCGAUGGGAAACGGGUUAAUAUUCCCGUACUUGGUGUUACUGCGAAGGGGGGACGGAGAAGGCUAUGUUGGCCGGGCGACGGUUGUCCCGGUUUAAGCGUGUAGGUGUGUGUUCCAGGUAAAUCCGGUUCACUUUAACACUGAGGCGUGACGACGAGGCACUACGGUGCUGAAGCAACAAAUGCCCUGCUUCCAGGAAAAGCCUCUAAGCAUCAGGUAACAUCAAAUCGUACCCCAAACCGACACAGGUGGUCAGGUAGAGAAUACCAAGGCGCUUGAGAGAACUCGGGUGAAGGAACUAGGCAAAAUGGUGCCGUAACUUCGGGAGAAGGCACGCUGACACGUAGGUGAAGUGAUUUACUCAUGGAGCUGAAGUCAGUCGAAGAUACCAGCUGGCUGCAACUGUUUAUUAAAAACACAGCACUGUGCAAACACGAAAGUGGACGUAUACGGUGUGACGCCUGCCCGGUGCCGGAAGGUUAAUUGAUGGGGUCAGCGCAAGCGAAGCUCCUGAUCGAAGCCCCGGUAAACGGCGGCCGUAACUAUAACGGUCCUAAGGUAGCGAAAUUCCUUGUCGGGUAAGUUCCGACCUGCACGAAUGGCGUAAUGAUGGCCAGGCUGUCUCCACCCGAGACUCAGUGAAAUUGAACUCGCUGUGAAGAUGCAGUGUACCCGCGGCAAGACGGAAAGACCCCGUGAACCUUUACUAUAGCUUGACACUGAACAUUGAGCCUUGAUGUGUAGGAUAGGUGGGAGGCUUUGAAGUGUGGACGCCAGUCUGCAUGGAGCCGACCUUGAAAUACCACCCUUUAAUGUUUGAUGUUCUAACGUGGACCCGUGAUCCGGGUUGCGGACAGUGUCUGGUGGGUAGUUUGACUGGGGCGGUCUCCUCCUAAAGAGUAACGGAGGAGCACGAAGGUUGGCUAAUCCUGGUCGGACAUCAGGAGGUUAGUGCAAUGGCAUAAGCCAGCUUGACUGCGAGCGUGACGGCGCGAGCAGGUGCGAAAGCAGGUCAUAGUGAUCCGGUGGUUCUGAAUGGAAGGGCCAUCGCUCAACGGAUAAAAGGUACUCCGGGGAUAACAGGCUGAUACCGCCCAAGAGUUCAUAUCGACGGCGGUGUUUGGCACCUCGAUGUCGGCUCAUCACAUCCUGGGGCUGAAGUAGGUCCCAAGGGUAUGGCUGUUCGCCAUUUAAAGUGGUACGCGAGCUGGGUUUAGAACGUCGUGAGACAGUUCGGUCCCUAUCUGCCGUGGGCGCUGGAGAACUGAGGGGGGCUGCUCCUAGUACGAGAGGACCGGAGUGGACGCAUCACUGGUGUUCGGGUUGUCAUGCCAAUGGCACUGCCCGGUAGCUAAAUGCGGAAGAGAUAAGUGCUGAAAGCAUCUAAGCACGAAACUUGCCCCGAGA
rnacentral:rRNA from 1 species